GACGAACGCUGGCGGCGUGCUUAACACAUGCAAGUCGAGCGGUAAGGCCCUUUCGGGGGUACGACGAGCGGCGAACGGGUGAGUAACACGUGGGUGACCUGCCCUCAGCUCUGGGAGUAAGCCUGGGAAACCGGGUCUAAUACCGGAUAUGACUCCAUGACGCAUGUUGUGGGGUGGAAAGCCUUGUGCGGCUGAGGAUGGGCCCGCGGCCUAUCAGCUUGUUGGUGGGGUGAUGGCCUACCAAGGCGACGACGGGUAGCCGGCCUGAGAGGGCGACCGGCCACACUGGGACUGAGACACGGCCCAGACUCCUACGGGAGGCAGCAGUGGGGAAUCUUGCGCAACGGGCGAAAGCCUGACGCAGCGACGCCGCGUGAGGGAUGACGGCCU
rnacentral:rRNA from 1 species